ensembl:misc_RNA 7SK 7SK RNA
GGAUGUGAGGGCGAUCUGGCUGCGACAUCUGUCACCCCAUUGAUCCGCCAGGGUUGAUUCGGCUGAUCUGGCUGGCUAGGCGGGUGUCCCCUUCCUCCCUCACCGCUCCAUGUGCAUCCCUCCCGAAGCUGCGCGCUCAGUCGAAGAGGCCGACCUUCCCCGAAUAGAGGAGGACCGGUCUUCGGUCAAGGGUAUACGAGUAGCUGCGCUCCCCUGCUAGAACCUCCAAACAAGCACAGCAGGGGCAGCGUUGCACCAACCCUCUCCACUGGUCCAGUCUCACGAGCACCACACGAACAUCUCCAAAGAUGGUGCCUUCCAUGA